AGUUACCUUAGAAACGCGCCCUCUAUCGUCGGGCCCCGGGCGACAGUUACCAUAGAAAUACAUCGAAACGAAAUCAACCAAAUCGAUCGAAUCAACGAUUUGACUGAUCUAACUAACAGCUAGGAAAGAAGAGGCCAUGCAUCAGUUUAAACACAAAGUAGGACAUUAUUGAGUCGGUCAGGGUCAGUGUAUCAGAAACAAUGUGAAGGAGGUAAGUGUAUCAGAAACAAUGUGAAGGAGGUCAGUGUAUCAGAAACAAUGUGAAGGAGGUAAGUGUAUCAGAAACAAUGUGAAGGAGGUCAGUGUAUCAGAAACAUUGUGAAGGAGGUCAGUGUAUCAGAAACAAGGUGAAGGAGGUCAGUGUAUCAGAAACAAUGUGAAGGAGGUAAGUGUAUCAGAAACAAUGUGAAGGAGGUCAGUGUAUCAGAAACAAGGUGAAGGAGGUCAGUGUAUCAGAAACAUGGUGAAGGAGGUCAGUGUAUCAGAAACAAUGUGAAGGAGGUCAGAAACAAUGUGAAGGAGGUCAGAAACAAGGUGAAGGAGGUCAGUGUAUCAGAAACAAUGUGAAGGAGGUCAGUGUAUCAGAAACAAGGUGAAGGAGGUCAGUGUAUCAGAAACAAUGUGAAGGAGGUCAGAAACAAUGUGAAGGAGGUCAGAAACAAGGUGAAGGAGGUCAGUGUAUCACAAACAAUGUGAAGGAGGUCAGUGUAUCAGAAACAAUGUGAAGGAGGUCAGUGUAUCAGAAACAAUGUGAAGGAGGUCAGAAACAAUGUGAAGGAGGUCAGUGUAUCAGAAACAAGGUGAAGGAGGUCAGUGUAUCAGAAACAAUGUGAAGGAGGUCAGUGUAUCAGAAACAAUGUGAAGGAGGUCAGUGUAUCAGAAACAAUGUGAAGGAGGUCAGUGUAUCAGAAACAAUGUGAAGGAGGUCAGUGUAUCAGAAACAAGGUGAAGGAGGUCAGUGUAUCAGAAACAUUGUGAAGGAGGUCAGUGUAUCAGAAACAAGGUGAAGGAGGUCAGUGUAUCAGAAACAUUGUGAAGGAGGUCAGUGUAUCAGAAACAAGGUGAAGGAGGUCAGUGUAUCAGAAACAAGGUGAAGGAGGUCAGUGUAUCAGAAACAAUGUGAAGGAGGUCAG